rnacentral:snoRNA from 1 species
UAGUUGCGAUGAAGAGCAAUCUGUCAUGCACCACUCUGAUUUUGUUGAUCUCUGUUUAGAUCUGCAGUGCUGAUAAAUUGAAACUACCUAUUUUUGAUCUGAGCUU